CGGGGGAUGGAUCAGGAGAAAGGCAUUUUGGGUGGCAAAACAGGUGCUGCAACUGGGCAUGGGGGAUGCUCUUGAAGAUUGGUUGAUUCAGAAAAUCCAGCGUUUACGCAAGGGAUCGUCCAUGGCGUCCGCUAUCACUCGCCUCGAACAGAUUCUGUGGCCUGGUGGGAUAUUCAUAAGCAAGCGUCCAAAGCAACCACCAUUGCCCGAAGGUUCGACUUCCGGCAACUACUCCAACGAAACCCUAUCUCCUCAGUCCCUAGAGGAACUGCAGCAGCAAGAAGCUGAUCGUCG
rnacentral:misc_RNA from 1 species